rnacentral:rRNA from 1 species
UGCCGCGUGCAGGAAGAAGGCCUUCGGGUUGUAAACUGCUUUUGUACGGAACGAAAAGGUCUGGUUUAAUACCCUGGGCUCAUGACGGUACCGUAAGAAUAAGCACCGGCUAACUACGUGCCAGCAGCCGCGGUAAUACGUAGGGUGCAAGCGUUAAUCGGAAUUACUGGGCGUAAAGCGUGCGCAGGCGGUUUUGUAAGACAGAUGUGAAAUCCCCGGGCUCAACCUGGGAACGGCGUUUGUGACUGCAUAGCUGGAGUGCGGCAGAGGGGGAUGGAAUUCCGCGUGUAGCAGUGAAAUGCGUAGAUAUGCGGAGGAACACCGAUGGCGAAGGCAAUCCCCUGGACCUGUACUGACGCUCAUGCACGAAAGCGUGGGGAGCAAACAGGAUUAGAUACCCUGGUAGUCCACGCCCUAAACGAUGUCAACUGGUUGUUGGNCNUUANACUGNNUCAGUAACGAAGCUA